rnacentral:rRNA from 1 species
GAUUUUGACUUUUAUCCUACAUGGAUAACUGUGGUAAUUCUGGAGCUAAUACAUGCAUAAAAGAUGUUUCUUUAUUGAAACAUUGCGUAUAUUAGUAUUAAAACCAAGCAUUCUUCGGAAUGUUUUGUGUUGAAACUGAAUAUAUCUGCUGAUCGUAUGGUCUUGUACCGACGACAUGUCAUUCAAGUGUCUGAUCUAUCAACUUUCUAUAUAAGUAUAUAGUACUUAUAUGGUUUUGACGGAUAACGGGGUAUUAGGGUACGACUCCGGAGAAAAUGCCUGAGAAACGGCGUUUACAUCCAAGGAAGGCAGCAGGCGCGAAAAUUACCCACUCUCAGUACGAGGAGGUAGUGACGAGAAAUGACAAGAUCUAUUCCUUCGGGGAUGGAUCAUUGGAAUGGUUUGAUUUUAAAAUCAUUAAAGAGUAUCAAUGAGAGGGCAAGUCUGGUGCCAGCAGCCGCGGUAAUUCCAGCU